UGAAAAAAAUACCAUCAGACGCAGAAAGACGAGUGCAACAUAUUCCACUAUUAUGAACCCUGAGGUCGACUCCUCCCCCCACAGGGUCGAUGCGAAGUUUCGAGAUAGGCACUACAAGGCUUUACGCAAAGCGAGAGAGAAGGUUGAAACUGGGAUAUUGCUCCAAACCCGAUUCACUCCUCCGAGCUUGAGGGUAUGUUGUUCAUGGGUCAAGUUGAGGUCGUCGAGUGGCAGAGAAGCCUCCCAUUUCUUCCAUUUUGCAACCACUUUUCUUGCCGUUUUAAUAUUGUUCCCAGGGUCAAGUUGAGGUCGAGUGGAAGAGAAGCGUUUCAUCCGUCCAUUUUGCAACCAUUUUUCUUGUCGUCGUAAGGAGCCGUAUACUCCCCAGAACAAUUGAAGACAUCUGAAUAAUUCAAGAUUAAAUCAAAAGUUCUGGGAGUGCACAGCUACUUUUUUCCUUCCAGGUAUGUUGUUCAUGGGUCAAGUUGAGGUCGUCGAGUGGCAGAGAAGCGUUCCAUCCAUUCUUCUUGCCGUUGUAAGGAGCCGUAUACUUUAGAGCUGCCUUUUCUGAUUAAUACAAGAUCAGAACAAACAGCUCCAAAGUACACAACUUCUUUUCUUAUUCCCGAAGAUGACCUAGAAGAAGAAAAAAGUAACAUAAAGCAAUUAAAUUAAAGUUCCAACUAUUCAAAAUUGCCAGAUAGUGGUUCGCUAUGAUGGAAAUGUCAGCGACCUUCAGACUCACCUUCGCCUCUUGCGGUCGAACUGGAAGAUGUGGCCUUAUCUUUACUGACGAAAAUUUGUUAAAGUGUCUUCACCAACAAAGAGGAUUUCAUUCAUCAUCAACCGCUUUCCGCCAUCUAAGAACCACACCCAUACAAUAAUUAAAUCUCUUGAAAUCAAUCAACCAGUCUCACAAAGUACUCGUUCUUUCAAAAAGAAAUAAAAACUCUUAUUUUUAGAUAAAAUUGAAUAAAUUUAAUCACUCACCUUAGUCAGCCACAGUCCGAUCCACGGUCAGGCAUUCACUCAAUGAAUUUAAAUUUUUAAAGUUUCUUGAAAUUUUGUAGAGACGAUCCUGACGACCCAACCAUCAUUUCUCGAAGUUGAAGCGAGACUGAGGAGGAGAGAGCCGACGUGGUUGCGGCGUGGGUUUGAUGAUUUUAGGCAGACGAUCAUGGUGGAAGAAGGAAUCGAAGGUUCGAUGAAGGUUCACAAGCGACACGAAUUUGAAAUACUGUCAAUAUUUUUUAUUUCAAAGUUUGUCGCAAAAUUAUUAAAAAUUACACUAAAAUAAUAUCUAACCUUAUCAAGAUUAAAAAAUGUUCACACUACUUUCAAGCUCGUUUUCCUUGUGCAACAACCUUCUUCAGUUUAGACUGACCUUCUCCGCCUUCUAAUCAGUAUUUCAAAAUGGUUAAAAAUCGAAAAAAUGAUGAAAUCCAAACUUAAUGAAGUGUGGAAGACGGCAGAAGUAUGAAAUGAAGGUUUAAUUGCAAAAUUAUUUUUUAAUUAAAUAUUUAACUAAAGCAAGAUCUAAUUCUCAGUUGGCCCAACCCACCACUCAAGAAUAAAGGCUACGGCUAAAUUCACGCGGCUCAUCCUUCUCCACGCUCACAUUUCGGCAGCCUCCUCGCCACUUCAUCAAGUCCAGUAGUCGUAGAAAAAGUUUUAACUUUGUCAAAAAUUCAUUUUUAUGGAGGAGUUU